GACGAACGCUGGCGGCGUGCUUAACACAUGCAAGUCGAACGGAAAGGCCCUGCUUUUGUGGGGUGCUCGAGUGGCGAACGGGUGAGUAACACGUGAGUAACCUGCCCUUGACUUUGGGAUAACUUCAGGAAACUGGGGCUAAUACCGGAUAGGAGCUCCUGCUGCAUGGUGGGGGUUGGAAAGUUUCGGCGGUUGGGGAUGGACUCGCGGCUUAUCAGCUUGUUGGUGGGGUAGUGGCUUACCAAGGCUUUGACGGGUAGCCGGCCUGAGAGGGUGACCGGCCACAUUGGGACUGAGAUACGGCCCAGACUCCUACGGGAGGCAGCAGUGGGGAAUAGUGCACAAUGGGCGGAAGCCUGAUGCAGCAACGCCGCGUGCGGGAUGACGGCCUUCGGGUUGUAAACCGCUUUCGCCUGGGACGAAGCGUGAGUGACGGUAAUGGGUAAAGAAGCACCGGCUAACUACGUG
rnacentral:rRNA from 1 species